AUGAUGCUUAUUUUACAAUCACGACGGUCUGCGUAGUCCUUCAGUGACGAUAUUGCCUGUGACAAGGCGCUAUUACUGAAU